UCACCUGAGCCUAGGAGGUCAAGGCUGCAGUGAGCUGUGAUUGCACCGCUGCACUCUAGCCUGGGCAACAGAGUGAGAUCCUGUCACCUCCACCCCAAAAAAAGAAAGAAAGAAACCAGAACACCAGGUGUGUCUUUGUGUUUUCACCCUGAUCACUGCCUCUCCUGCCAGCCCCCCGCUUUCCGGGGAAGAGCUGACUGUGGCGGGGGACAGAGCGCUGACUCCCACCCAGGCCGUUGGGACUACCCUAUCUAGGCCUUAAAAUACUAUGGGAGUUCCUAGCAAAUUCCACCUUAUUUGACUUCUCUGAACAGCCCAAACUCUGGUGGGCUCCUUCCCUUGCCUUCAUAGGAGACUUGAUGCAGGGGGCAGAGGUGAGAGCCCAGGGGGACAGCUGGCCUUCAGGAGGGGUCCUUGCUGAGUGUUUCCAGGAGAGCUUCGGCCUCUGGCAGCACCAUGUUCCAGGUGGCACUGAAGACCGGUGGGUGAUUUGCUGGGUGUGGGAACAGAAAUGCAGAGGAAUAAGCUAGUGUUUUCUUCCUUGAGACUUGUUGUUUUCCCUUUGACAGUUUAGAUGAAUAGUAACAAUAACCACCGAUAGGAAUGUCAUCCUGACCAGGGUCUGAAGUCUUCCAUGGAUGUUCCCAUCUAAUUCUCACAGUAGCCCUGUGGGCUUUUACGGUAAGAAUGAUUACUGACUCCACUUUUCACCAGUGUGGGAACUGAGACUUGGAGAGGUUCAGUGACCAGACGAUGGAGUCCAAGGUCCAGGGUCCAUGAUCCAGGGCCCAGAUCUUCACACCCCCCGCUCCCUCCCCUUCCAUUUCUCCUCUUGCUUUGGGUUUGGGAGGCCUCCGCAGGAGGACGAGCUUUCCCUACUGCCCCGCAGGGCACGAUGGCGAACGCCCCUCGCUAGUCAGGCACCCGAAGGAAUAAGGCAUGUGACUGUAUGCACAAUAUCCCAAUAAAGCAUGUGGGUGGUGGGGAUGGGUGGGCGAGGUUGAGAUCCAUUCUUUAAGGCAUGAAAUACUGUCUCUUUCAAAAAGAGGUUGUGCUGUUCUGCAGCUGGUUUUCUUUAACUACCAGAAACACCAGCAUUGUUUCAGAAAGCCACAAAAUUUCCAAACACAACGAGAAUUCCAAGAGGAUAGGGUGUGGGUUUUGGGGGCUGGGGUGGGUAUGGACAGGCUUUUUGGGGAGGGAAGACCACAGCCUGAGUGGUUUUGUCCCCCAUGGGUAAUGAAUUUCACAUGGCUCCACUGUCCUCAGUUUUAUCUGAAGGAUGCUCGAGUUGAAGCCUGGGAAAGAAGGGGAUCGGGAAGGAGCAGGCCCCAGGGAUUACAGUGACCAUAAAAACCAAACAGUGACCCAGGACAGCCCCAUUUGGUGUGGCCUCUAAUGACUGCCUUCCCUCAGCUGGUGUCAGAGGAGGCACAUGGUGUCAGUUAAGUUCCAAAGUGACAUUUGUAUAAAUAAGUUUGUAAAUGGGAAAUUACUUUUCCCCCCUCUCCAAUCUUAAGAAAACGUGCAGCCUAUAUCCAAAUAUUUCUGAAAUAGCAUCAACAGUAACAGCAAACAGGAGAGCUAAUGUCACCAACAAAACUUGUAAGGUCAACCCACAGAAAGAAGGGAGUAAAUGAGCAACACCUCGGACAGAGUUUCUCACGUGCCGAAAACACUCAGCGAUAUUUCUAACAGGCGUGGUGGCCCUUCAGUCAGAAGUGGCCUUUCUCUGGAGUCUGAAGUAAAAAAAAAAAAA
ensembl:lncRNA